GGAAGCAUCCUACGAGAGAGGAAAAAUUAUGCAUAUCAGGAUCCUCUCCAACACCAGCUGACUCUUUGGAUACGUCGCUUCUGCGCUACUUUGUAAUUUGGCAGGGUCUGCUUGACACAGAUGUAAAAAGACUACAAAUACCGGGAUAAGAUGCCCUACAGAAACAGAACAGUCCAGGUGGAUCCGGUGGAUCUGGUGUAUGAAAAAGAUAUUCGAACCUCCCGACUCCGGUACAGUGUUUGAUUAACUGAAAUAACUUCAAGCUCAUAUCAUCCGAGGAAUUGAACACCGUCUAAAUUUCCAGAGAAGCAAAUGAUGGUACAGGAAAACUAGCCAAGAACAAGCAAAAGGAACACGAGACUCAAAAAGAAAGGCAGUUCAAGGAACUUCAUCGGGCUUAAAUGCUGGAACUUUUUGAGAACCUAAUGCUUUUAAUUUCAAUGCAGCAUCUGUCACUCCCGAAAUAUUGUUUAGAGCCGGAGAGGGCUAAAGGUCCAACGGAAACAUGCAGAAGGUCAUCUAGAAUUUGAUGCUAGCACAGCAAGCCAGUUGAUAAGGCAAACAAGCCUUUAAGUAGUGACCCACCCUACCCGACCUGUAUGAUAAAUGAAAAAAAUAGAUUUGGAAACGGACCGAUCAACGCAGACAAGCAUAUCAGUAAGAUUCGAGUGGAUUCCGAGUGUAAAUUCUAUCAAGCUAUUUACCUGGGAAACUGAAUCUUUAAGGACCCAUUGCAGCCGAAGGAGGUGUUAAAUUUGCAGCCGAAGGAGGUGUAAAAUUUACUAACCGUUAACUAUGUUGGAAAUGACGAUUCGACUAGUCCAUUUUUCUAACUUGGACCUUAUACAGCCAUCGGGAUGCCGAAACGUUGGCACUGUGGCUUUCAAGUGGUCAAGCCUGGCUUGACACCGGCACACGACCGAUGUGGUUCUGCCAGUUUGUUUUUGUCGGUAUUGAUACCGAUAGAUAAAUCCCCUAAGCUCAUCGAGGUAAAAUUAUGACAUACUUUGGGCAACAUGAUGAUGCAGCAAACGAUUAAACUGUAUUACCAGAAGUGCAUAGCACGAUAGGAUUCCUCAAGCUUUAAAAAACGUGCCCGACUGUACUCAAAGGCCAGAUCUGUUGCUGUUCUUCGACAGCAUGUUCCGUUUAACCUAGUCCUACUUCGCUUGCCCGCAUCCCGUUCGCUGCAGAUUAUAAGUUUACCUUUGCCAGCAUAAUGGCGAGAAUGGAGGUAUGGAAGAACUUAUUACAACCAUUACAACCACCUUCGGGCCUAUGUGCCAUAUAUGUGCCGAUAUGACAAAUCCUGAUUUUUUAGUUUUGCAUUCGAUUGCUGAACUGAGAAUCAACCUAAGGCGUGUAUACAAGAAGAUAUAAGGAUUAGGAUUGGGUUUCUAGACUAAAAUUCAGGAUUUAGGACUUUGAUCACGGGCAAAAAGUAAACAUUCAAAGAAAAAUAAGGAGGUAUAGGAUCAGAGGGGGGAAGGAUCAGAGGGGGGAAGGAUUGACUAGGUGAGUUGGACUUAACAAAGGAAAAAUUGUACUCGAAUAUUUUUUUAGAAAUGUUAU